UGACCAAUCAAGCUUGUCUUGGUAUUGGGGUUCGCCUUUCGGCGGCCCUUAAACCUAAUGGCGGUGCCGUUGGGCUCUCAGCGUAGUAAUACUCCUCGCUACAGGGUCUCACGGUUACUUGCCACAAACCCCAACUUUCUCA
rnacentral:misc_RNA from 1 species